rnacentral:rRNA from 1 species
UUUACCCGCCGGAAUUAAGCAUAUUAUUAAGCGGAGGAAAAGAAACUAACAAGGAUUCCCCCAGUAACGGCGAGUGAAGCGGGAACAGCUCAAUCCGAAAAUCCCCGGCCUUGUGCCGUGGGAAUUGUGGUCUAGAGGUGCGUAUCUGCAGGUAGCGCUGGCGCGUAAAUGGUUGUUGAGACAGCCUUCCGAAGAACGUAAUAGACGUGUUCCGUGCCGGCUGACUCCUGUUACAGUGCGCAUCCUGAGAGUCGUGUUGCUUGGGACUGCAGCACAAAGUGGGAGGUAAUAUCCUUCUAAAGCUAAAUAUUUGCCGGAGACCGAUAGCGAACAAGUACCGUGAGGGAAAGAUGAAAAGAACUUUGAGAAGAAAGUGAAAAGUACGUGAAAUCGUUAAGGGUGAAGCGAGAUGCUCCUAUAGCUCCUGCUGCCGUUUCCUUGGUUACCUCUGGUUCCUUGGUCAAACGGCUUUAGGGCGUUCUGGUGGCUUCCGGGUGCCGCAAACUGGCUUUGCUCAGGGAAGUUCCCGUCUUGUCGGGGAUGAAUGGGCUUGGUCGAUACGGUGCCCUGGGAGUGAGGCAACGAGGCUGAUUCUUCCUGCCGUUGUGGUGUAGUCUGGUCUUUCUAGGAUGCUUUGUCAUGUUGGAUUGGCUGGGUUGCAUUGUGCGUCGGGCUGUGAGCUUCCAAGACCAGGGCUUUUAUGGAGCGUCCCGACCCGUCUUGAAACACGGACCAAGGAGUCUAACAUGAGUGCGAGUAUUAGGGUGGUAAACCCCGAUGCAUAGAGAAAUCAAGAUGAGGGACUCCGUUAAGGACGCACCUCAGGCUGCACCUGAUCUUUUGUGAAGAGUCUAGCAAGAGCAUUUAUGUUGGGACCCGAAAGAUGGUGAACUAUGCUUGUGCAGGAUGAAGCCAGGAGAAACCCUGGUGGAAGUCCGUAGAGAUACUGACAUGCAAAUCGUUCGUCUGACAUGAGUAUAGGGGCGAAAGACUAAUCGAACCAUCUAGUAGCUGGUUUACGCCGAAGUUUCCCUCAGGAUAGCUGUGACUCGUGUGUCUCAUCAGGUAAAGCGAAUGAUUAGAGGAUUUGGGAAAGAAACUUUCUCGGCCUAUUCUCAAACUUUAAAUGGGUGAGAAGUCUUGGUUACUUAACUGAACCGGGGCAUUGGAACUGAGUUAUUAGUGGGCCAUUUUUGGUAAGCAGAACUGGCGAUGCGGGAUGAACCGGAAGCUUGGAUAAGGUGCCUAAGUUGUGGCUCAUUCAGAUACCAUAAAAGGUGUUGGUUGAUGAAGACAGCAGGACGGUGGUCAUGGAAGUCGAAAUCCGCUAAGGAGUGUGUAACAACUCACCUGCCGAAUCAACUAGCCCUGAAAAUGGAUGGCGCUCAAGCCGCAUACCGAGACCAGCCGUUUGAGCAAAUGCGAAGCUCAAACGAGUAGGCGUACGUGCUGGUAGCUCCGAAGCAGUGGGCGUGAGCCCUAGUGAAGCUGCCAGUAGUGCAGAUCUUGGUGUUAGUAGCAAAUAUUCAAAUGAAAACUUUGAAGACCGAAGUGGAGAAAGGUUUCACGUGAAGUUUAUUGCGACGUGAGUGACUCGGUCCUAAGCCAAACGGUAGUUCGUUUGCAAGUAGCCGAUUUAUCGGCUCGACUGGCGAAAGGGAAACUGGUUAAUAUUCCAGUAGUUGGAUGAAGAUCUUAGCUGCAAAGCAUUCAAAGCUGGGAACGCCGGCUUCGGCUCGGGAUAGAGUUUUCUUUUCUAUUUGACACUGGUGCCGCCUCUGAAAUCGAAUUAAUCGGAGAGAGAGGGGAUACCAUGGCAAAGCGGGAGACCUUAUCUCCCGUCCCGUGCGCCGAGGACGGUCCGUGAAAACCCAGUGGCGUGUUCGAUCUGACUCCAAGCCGUACUCAUAACCGCAUCAGGUCUCCAAGGUUAACAGCCUCUGGUCGAUAGAACAAUGUAGGUAAGGGAAGUCGGCAAAUUAGGUCCGUAACUUCGGGAAAAGGACUGGCUCUUAGGGCUGGAUGUUUGAGGCUCAGGCCACGAAGUACUGUUAACGAACGAGACUGGCUAGACUAUCUUCGGAUGGUCAGGCCGGGCUCUGUUUGUGGACGUAUGGAGGGUCCGAGGUUGCCUUCGGGCGUUCUCUGCAUGCUUAACAGCCAACUGAGAACUGGCGCGGACAAGGGGAAUCCGACUAGAUAAUUAAACUAAAGCAUUCUGAUGGUCGGAAACGAUGUUGACAGAAUGUGAUUUCUGCCCAGUGCUCUGAAUGUCAAUAGGAUGAGAUUCCAUAAAGCGCGGGUAAACGGCGGGAGUAACUAUGACUCUCUUAAGGUAGCCAAAUGCCUCGUCAUCUAAUUAGUGACGCGCAUGAAUGGAUCAACGAGAUUCCCACUGUCCCUACUUACUAUCUAGCGAAACCACAGCCAAGGGAACGGGCUUGGACGUAACGGCGGGGAAAGAAGACCCUGUUGAGCUUGACUCUAGUCAGACAUUGUGAAAUGACUUGAAAGGUGUAGACUAAGUGGGAGUUGUAAGACGGCCGUGAAAUACCACUACUUUUAAUGUUGUUUUACUUAUUAGCUUAGUAACAAUCUGGGUUUAACCGCCCUGUUUCUAGCAUUAAACGUGGAAUACCGCGUGAUGUUCGGCUAAGACACUGUCUGGUGGGGAGUUUGGCUGGGGCGGCACAUCUGUUAAACAAUAACACAGGUGUCCUAAGAUCAGCUCAGUGAGAACAGAAAUCUCACGUGGCGCAUAAGAGCAAAUGCUGGUUUGACCUGUAUUUUCAGUAUGAAUACGGGCUUCGAAAGAAUGGUCUAGCGAUCCUUUAGUCAGUCGGAUAUUGACGCUAGAGGUGUCAGAAAAGUUACCACAGGGAUAACUGGCUUGUGGCAGCCAAGCGUUCAUAGCGACGUUGCUUUUUGAUUCUUCGAUGUCGGCUCUUCCUAUCCCUAAGUCGCAUAAGGCUUAAAAGGUAAGAUUGUUCACCUACUAACAGGGAACGUGAGCUGGGUUUAGACCGUCGCGAGACAGGUUAGUUUUAUCCUACUGUUACAUCAUUUAACCAAUAGCAAGUCAAUUCAGUACGAGAGGAACCAUUGGCUCAGAUGACCGGUAAAUUCUGUUGAUCGACAGGUCAUUGCAGAGAAGCUGCCAUCUGUAGGAUAACGGCUGAACGCCUCUAAGUCAGAAA